GCUGGUGUAGCUCAAUCGGUANNGCAGGUUGCGGGUUCAAGUCCCAUCACCAGCUCCA
rnacentral:tRNA from 1 species